CUACAUCAUGAGCAAGACCAAUACAACCGGCUUCUACUCUGGUGGAAGUUAGAAGCUACCAGAUAACAACUCUAAGGUAGAAGGAGGCCAAGAAGAAAGAUGUAUUACUACCCAAUUAAGCCUCCCACAAAAGGAAUAGAUUAAGUGCUAAUGACAGAUUCAACAAAAGCAAGAUACAAUAUUGCUGUUGCCAACCUCUGGUGUUACCUGAAUGACUACCUUUCACACCAUUAUCAUUGUACAACCAUCUCUAAAGAGCAUGAGAGAAGAUGCCAACUGGGAGUGUACUCAAUGAAGAAGAAAAAUUAAAGUGGACAGAAAUGCCAAAAAAGAUUGAAAUACAAGAAAUGCUGAGGUGAUAUCUGAAAAAAUUCUUAAACAGAAAUAAAAGAAAUAGAGUAAAAGUGAGAAAAAUAUCAUAGCAAAGAGUUUGGGAUAGGAAUUGCCUGGGUAAAGUUGCUAUAGAUUCACCACUGAAUCCUAGAAACAUAAACUGUGGAUCUGUCUCCACAUAAAUAGGAGAGGAAAAUCUGAAAUGACUUCAUGUUUAAAUGAGAAAACAAAACAAGCAUGUGUACACACAGGCACCUUUUUAUUUAUUUUUUAUAAUCCUAUAAAUGGGAAUUUGCCUUAAAUAGUUCUUUACCUAAUGGUCUAAGACCCUUGGAUCCUAGGACCCUUGAUCAGAGAAGAUACAAUAUGAGAAACACGUGUUCUCAUUUAUUGAGGUUGUCAGAGAUGAUAGGGCUAAUUUCUAUCUCAGACUGAACUAACCCAGAACAAAAUUACAUGAUCAGUUUCUGGACUUUUCACUUUUCAGUUUUGUACCUUUCUUUUCUUUGCUUCUAUUCAUGGAGAUUCCGGUAACUUUAUGUUUUAUGUUUUCUCUUUUAACAAAUGUAUU